rnacentral:rRNA from 1 species
UACGGGGGGGGCAAGCGUUGUUCGGAAUUACUGGGCGUAAAGGGCGCGUAGGUGGCCUGAUAAGUAGGGGGUGAAAUCUUGCGGCUUAACCGCAAGGCUGCCUUCUAAACUGUCAGGCUAGAGCACAGUAGAGGCAGGUGGAAUUCCCGGUGUAGCGGUGGAAUGCGUAGAGAUCGGGAAGAACAUCAGUGGCGAAGGCGGCCUGCUGGGCUGUUGCUGACGCUGAGGCGCGACAGCGUGGGGAGCAAACAGG